rnacentral:rRNA from 1 species
UACGAAGGGGGCUAGCGUUGCUCGGAAUCACUGGGCGUAAAGCGCACGUAGGCGGAUCUUUUAAGUCAGGGGUGAAAUCCCAAGGCUCAACCUUGGAACUGCCUUUUGAUACUGGGGGAUCUCGAUCCGGAAGAGGUUGGUGGAACUGCGAGUGUAGAGGUGAAAUUCGUAGAUAUUCGCAAGAACACCAGUGGCGAAGGCG